GUAGGGAAUAUUGCGCAAUGGGGGAAACCCUGACGCAGCGACGCCGCGUGAGUGAUGAAGGCCUUCGGGUCGUAAAGCUCUGUUGCAGGGGAAUAAAAAAAUGAAGGUACCCUGUGAGGAAGGAUCGGCUAACUUCGUGCCAGCAGCCGCGGUAAGACGAGGGAUCCUAGCGUUGCUCGGAAUUAUUGGGCGUAAAGAGGGCGUAGGUGGCUUGGUAAGUCAGGUGUGAAAGCCCAGGGCUCAACCCUGGAAGUGCAUUUGAUACUGCUGAGCUUGAGUGUCGGAGAGGUUACCGGAAUACCUGGUGUAGUGGUGAAAUACGUAGAUAUCAGGUGGAACACCGGAGGCGAAGGCGGGUAACUGGACGAACACUGACACUGAGGCCCGAAAGCGUGGGGAUCAAACAGGAUUAGAUACCCUUGUAGUCC
rnacentral:rRNA from 1 species